AAUGUCAAAAUAUCGCUGAAGUUUAAAAGGAGAUUUUCUUGUAAUUGUAAAACCUUAAUCCUGCCCAUUUGACCGCGAUUUGCAAUCCCCAACCCCAAGUCUCUUUUCCAAAUUCCCCCAGUGAUCGAGAAAUGGAACGAGAGGAAAAUUCUUCCGACCACACCGGUAACAUUAAUGCCGACGAUGAUAUAAUGGUGAACCCGACAUGGUUAUCUCCAUCUUUUGUGGUGGACCCAAGACCCAUUUAUUAUAGAGAUUAAUAUGAAAUGGAAGGAGGCAACUCCGACGGCGGCAACAUCGAUUCUGGCAAAAACAUGAGUAUUUUGGAAAUCCCUUCAUCCGAAGACGACAAUCCGAAUGACAUGAGUUUACGAGAAGGAACUGAUAUUAUUGUGCCUAGUGUUGGAAUGAAGUUCCAAGAUGAGAAUGAGGUGUUCGAAUUUUACAAGAACUACGCGUACCAAGUUGGAUUUCCGGUGAGGAAAAGAAAUUCAAAGAAGGGUGAGGAUGGUGUUGUACGUUAUGUAACUUUUACAUGUAGUCGGGAGGGCCGUCGAACUAGUGGUUCAAAUGCAGUCAUGAAGCCUCAACCAACAAUGUAAAUAGGCUGUAAAGCAAGAUUGACAGCAUGUUCAGAACUUAGUGGCGCAUGGCGUAUUAACACUGUCCAUCUGGAGUAUAAUCACAAGAUAAGCCCAUUGAAAUCAAGGCUAUAUCGCUGCAAUCGAGAAAUCAGUGCACGCGCGAGAAGACGGCUUGAAAUAAAUGACGUAGCUGGUAUACUAUUACAUAAGAGUUUUAACUCGGCCGUAGUUGAAGCCGGUGGUUACGAAAUUAUUACGUGCGUUGAGAAGGAUUGUAGAAAUUUCAUUGACAAAGUCCGACGGUUAAGACUGGGUGAAGGAGAUACUCUUGCAAUACAAGUGUAUUUUACAAGGAUGCAAGCAACCAAUCCUAGAUUCUUCAUUAGCAUAGACUUGGAUGAUGAGGCCCAGUUGAGGAACGUGUUUUGGGCAGAUAACGGGUGUAGGCAAGCGUGUAAGGAAUUCGGUGAUAUAGUUACAUUUGACACCACGUACUUGACCAACAAGUACGAGAUGCCUUUCGCUCCUUUCGUUGGGGUAAACCAUCAUGGACAAUCAACCCUACUUGGAUGUGGUUUGCUAUCAAAUGAAGACGCAAGGACUUUUGUAUAUUCCGAACACGGCUUGAAUUAGUACUCCAGACCAAGUUAGAUAUGAGCAAAUGUGCAAUGCUUUUGCGAAGUUAGCUGACUUGGUAGCACACGACGAGUCACGGUCACGUGGUAUCAUGGAUUGUAUUGAAAUCCAAACAAAUGAUUCAUCGAUGUUGAAGUAUAGCAACGUGGGCUCUCAACGCUUGGAUGAAGCCGAAAAGUGUUCUGGCGGAAUCAUCUUGGACCCGAAAUAAAAAGUAAGGGAGCUCCUAAAAAACUUCGCCGAAAGAGACAUCUAGAAGCUGUUUCCAGAAAAUCGAAAAUCUGUCGUAAGAAUUCGACUACAACGAACGGGCAAAAAGACAAAGUUUCAUCAUCAUUCAAUGUUAAGGAGGUCGGCACGCAGGAGAGUGUUGGAGAUUUUGAUGUAGUGGUAUAAGGCAUCUAGCAGAUUUUCAAUUGAUUUUGAUGUAGGCGUAUAAGGCAUCUACCAGAUUUUGAUGUGGGUCUGGUGGUGGGGUGGAAAAGAACGAUAUCAAGAUUGUAAUGAAUCUAAUGAUGCAUAUCAUAGCUAUGGGUACUGUUUUGAGAAGGGCUGGUAAUUGUGUUGAGAAGUAGCAAAAAAAAAGGCCCUUUGUUUUGAUAUGUGUUUAUAUAUCAAUAUCUUAUUAGCAUUGUUUUAAUUACUGCUCGAAAUUUGGAUAAGCUCAUUUAUCAGUUUUGUGUAUAUGUUGGAAUGUUCAGCUG